AACGAACGCUGGCGGCAUGCCUAACACAUGCAAGUCGAACGAAACCUUCGGGUUUUUUGGCGCACGUCUACGUAACGCGUGGUAACCUGCACUUGGGUUCCGAAUACCUCCCCGAGGGGGAUCCUAAUGCCGCAUAAUCUCUUCGCGCCAAAGAUUUAUCGCCUUUGGUUGGGCCCUCGUUGGAUUCGCUGGUUGGUAGGGUAAAAGCAUACCAAGGCGAAGUUGCAGAGCUGGUAUGAGAGGAUGAUUAACCACACUGGAAAUGAGACACGGCCCAGACUGGGACGGGAGGGAGCAGAGGGGAAUAGUGGAGAAGGGGCGAAAGUCUGAGAAAGCAGUGUCGGGUAAGUGAUGAAGGGAGUAGGGUUGUAAAGUCGUUUUACACGGGAUGAGAGUGACAGUAACGGGUGAAGAAGCACCGGCUAACUACGUG
rnacentral:rRNA from 1 species